GUCUACGGUCAUGCUACCUUGUACAAGCCCAGUCCCAUCUGAUCUCGGAAGGUAAGCAGGGUUGGGCCUGGUUAGUACUUGGAUGGGAGACCAUCUAGGAAGACCAGGUGCUGUACGUA
rnacentral:rRNA from 1 species